rfam:Oryza sativa Japonica Group DNA, chromosome 4, cultivar: Nipponbare, complete sequence.
AUCCCAUGAUGAGGACGGGCGGUGACGCAUUCCUGCAGCCUUUCCCAAGCUUCAAGAAUGGUUUCAUCCCUCGUUCGCUGCAAACCAAAUAUUCUUCCAUGAAGAG